rnacentral:rRNA from 1 species
GCACAAGCGGUGGAGCAUGUGGUUCAAUUCGACGCAACGCGAAGAACCUUACCCAGGCUUGAACAGCGAGUGACCACUUACGAAAGUAAGCUUCCGCAAGGACACUCGUAGAGGUGCUGCAUGGCUGUCGUCAGCUCGUGUCGUGAGAUGUUGGGUUAAGUCCCGCAACGAGCGCAACCCUUGUCUGCUGUUGCCAUCACGUUAUGGUGGGCACUCUGCAGAGACUGCCGGUGAUAAACCGGAGGAAGGUGGGGAUGACGUCAAGUCAGCAUGGCCUUUAUGUCUGGGGCUACACACGUGCUACAAUGGCAGAUACAAACCGUCGCGAGACCGCAAGGUGGAGCUAAUCGGAUAAAGUCUGUCUCAGUUCGGAUUGUCGGCUGCAACUCGCCGGCAUGAAGUUGGAAUCGCUAGUAAUCGCGGAUCAGCACGCCGCGGUGAAUACGUUCCCGGGC